rnacentral:rRNA from 1 species
AAUCAGUGAGCUAGUAGGGUGACCGCGAAUGGCUCAUUAAAUCAGUUAUGGUUCCUUAGAUGAUACCACAAUAAUUGGAUAACUGUGGUAAUUCUAGAGCUAAUACAUGCAAAAAAUCCUGACCAGAAAUGGAAGGGAUGCUUUUAUUAGAUCAAAACCAUUCGGCCGGCCUGGUCCGGUCGCUUGCUUUGGUGACUCUGGAUAACAUUAUGCUGAUCGCGUGGUCCUCGCACCGCGACGCAUCUUUCAAAUGUCUGCCUUAUCAACUGUCGAUGGUAGGCUCUGCGCCUACCAUGGUUGUAACGGGUAACGGGGAAUCAGGGUUCGAUUCCGGAGAGGGAGCCUGAGAAACGGCUACCACAUCCAAGGAAGGCAGCAGGCGCGCAAAUUACCCACUCCCGGCACGGGGAGGUAGUGACGAAAAAUAACGAUACGGGACUCAUCCGAGGCCCCGUAAUCGGAAUGAGAACACUUUAAACCCUUUAACGAGUAUCCAUUGGAGGGCAAGUCUGGUGCCAGCAGCCGCGGUAAUUCCAGCUCCAAUAGCGUAUAUUAAAGUUGCUGCGGUUAAAAAGCUCGUAGCUGGAUGUGUGUCCCACGCUGUCGGUUCACCGUUCGUCGGUGUUAACUGGCAUGCCCGUGAGGACGUCCUGCCGGUGGAUGCGGCCGGCCGUGGGCCUCUGGUCAACGUGUCGGCGGUCCGAUGCAAUCCUACCGCGGUGCUCUUCACCGAGUGUCGAGGUGGGCCGGCAUGUUUACUUUGAACAAAUUAGAGUGCUCAAAGCAGGCAGGGUUCGCCUGAAUAUUGUGUGCAUGGAAUAAUGGNAAUAGGACCUCGGUUCUAUUUUGUUGGUUUACAGAACUUGAGGUAAUGAUUAAGAGGGACAGAUGGGGGCAUUCGUAUUGCGACGUUAGAGGUGAAAUUCUUGGAUCGUCGCAAGACGAACCUAAGCGAAAGCAUUUGCCAUAGAUGUUUUCAUUAGUCAAGAACGAAAGUUAGAGGUU